GAUGAACGCUGGCGGCGUGCCUAAUACAUGCAAGUCGAGCGAACAGACGAGGCGCUUGCUCCUCUGUCGUUAGCGGCGGAGGGGUGAGUAACACGUGGAUAACCUCCCUAUAAGACUGGGAUAAUUUCGGGAAACCGGAGCUAAUACCGGAUAACCUGUUGAAGCGCAUGGUUCAACAGUGAAAGACGGCCUUGCUGUCACUUAUCGCUGGAUCCGCGCCGCUUUAGCUAGUUGGUAGGGUAAAGGCUUACCAAGGCAACGAGGCGUAGACGACCGGCUGGAGUGAUCGGCGACAUGGGAAGGGGAACACGGACAAUGCUCCUACGGGAGGCAGCAGUAGGAUACCUGCCGCAAUGGGCGGAAGCCUGACGGAGCAACGCCGCGUGAGAGAAGAAGGUCUUCGGAUCGUAAAACUCUGUUAUUAGGGAAGAACAAAUGUGUAAUUAACUAUGCACUUCUUGACGGUACCGAAUCAGAAAGCCACGGCUAACUACGUG
rnacentral:rRNA from 1 species